rnacentral:misc_RNA from 1 species
UUUCCGUAGGUGAACCUGCGGAAGGAUCGUUAAUGAGUUGUCAUGGGGUUCGAUGCUGGCAGCCAGUUUUUGGAUGCAUGUGCUUGCCCUAACAAUCAUCUUCUUCCAAACACCUGUGCACAUUUUUGAGGGAGUCUUGAGUUGGUUGCCGCUCUUGGGUGAUUUUCUCACAUUCCCUUAAAUCAUUAUACGCUAUUAACAAUGUUGAACGUGCUCUGUGCCGCAAGGCCAUUAAUAUAAUACAACUUUUAACAACGGAUCUCUUGGCUCUC